UCAAGAGUGUUUAAUUAGUUAAAUUAGGAUUAUAGUAAUCCAGGAAAUUUAGAGGAAAUUAAAACGUGGAAAUUCUUAGUAUCUCAAAAUACAGAAGAUUUAAAAGGGCAUAAGAAAAUUCCUAAAGAUCUAGGCAGCUACAGUGUCUUCGUUCUCCUCCAGGGCGUUUUCCACUGAGACCUCAUUCUCCUCUGCUCACAUUCAAAAAUGGAUGAUCAUUGCAAAAGAGAGACAUACAAUACACACAAACAAACAAGGCAAGGGUGAGAUAAUUAUAUAAAUAAGAAACAUACAAUAGAUUUCUCAUGUGAUCAUAUGAAAAUGAAUAGAAAACAAAGCAAAUUUAUAACAUACAACCUAAACAUGUGAAGUUCUAGACUUGACUCGUCCGGACUUUAAAAUGAGAGUCGGGCUAUGGCGAGUCUUGCACCCGUGGUGACUUAUGAAUCUAAGUUAAUCAAUUUCAUAAUCUUUUACAAUUUAUUUCCAAUACNUAGACCCUGUACAAAUAUAAACCAUGUUUCCUUCAAUUAUAUUAUGAUAGUUAUAUUAAACUAUACUUCUAUUAUAAAUUUUCUAUUAAACCAUUACAGAAUCAUUUUUAAUUUAUAUUAAACCACAAUCAUAUUAUAAUAUUAUAAGAUUUUAUUAUACAACCUGUCAUUAUAUAUAUAUAUAUAUAUAUAUAUAUAUAUAUAUAUAUAAUUAAAUUAAUGUACGUACAUUAACUAAAUAUACAUAUAUUAAUAUUAAUAUUAUAGUACCUAAACCCUCAUGCCAUUUUUACUUACUUUUCCCAAUAUUUAAACUAAUUUGUUCAUUUUAAUUUAUUCCUAGGAUAAAAAUGAGUUGAUCUAGGUGUGUUCUUGGCUAGAAUUUCCACAUUCCUAAGGCUUAGGGAACUAAAGUCAGAAUGGUCAUUUUUAAUGUGUUCUUACUCAAUUUUAUGCCUCACACAGGUUCCAUUUCACUAAUCUAAGUUAACUAAACAACCCAAACACCCCCGAUACCCCAGACACACAAAUUCACUAUGCUAGUUCCCUCUUCCCAAACUAAAUAAAAUCAAAUUAAGCUACUGAUCCUUUGCCUAAGGGUUCUACUCUCUCCCACCUUCUCAUACCCCAAUUGGUCAACAGAGUGGGAACAAAUGUCCACCGCAGCGGACUCACCUUCGUCACCAACACGUAUGACUAGUCACAACGUACUGGACCAGGCCAGGGCUGCUCUAUGAUCAGUGACGUGCCAGCUCUGGUUUUUAGGUUCCCUCUAUCCUACCAACAGAGAAGGUAUCCUAACACUCUGAGUUUGGCUUUCUUAAGGUAUUAUGAUCACUGUACUGUUUUCUAGAUCUCCCUUCCCUUAAAUCAGUACCUCACUUCCACUCACAGACCUAAAUACUACACAGCCCAAGUCUCCUUCACCAAAUCGACAACAUAACUGGAAUUCCCAGUAACACAAAAUGUACCUCAGUAUAUCCAGAACCAAUACUCGCCCAUUAAAUUUAUAUCACCAAGUCAAAUGUACAUGAAGUCAAUUUAAACAGGAAGUCAAAUGUACAGGAAGUCAAUUUAUAGCACCACAUAUCCAUAUCAAUACCCAAUCCAAAUUAAAACAAGUCCAAAUAUACAUACUGUCAUUUUCCCCGAAUAUGACCUUAACAUUCGAAAUCACGAUACAUCAGAAUUUAGUAUUUUCAGAAUCUCAUAUCACCACCAAUAUAUAUAUAUAUAUAUAUAUAUAUAUAUAUAUAUAUAUAUAUAUGCACCAAAAAUAUACUACAUUUACACCUCUCAUGCGAAAGACAACAGAUUCAUUCAUUCACAAAAACAAUUUAACAUACCAUAGUAUAAACUCCAAUCAAACCAUAAAAAUUCAAACAAACUAUAUUUAUAUAAUUAAAGCUCCCCUUACCUGGAAAGCCCCCAGUUUUUAACAAAUCAGAGAACGCUCCUAAGGAAAUCCUUACACUGUGCUGAACAAAACCGGACCUAUAAAUCACUGAUUAGGUGAUGGAGUUUUUUUAUUAGCUUUUUGAGUUGAAACAGUGAAGAAUGGAAGACCAAAUGAUACAGGACUCAUAAAAAUUAGAAAUAGUACAUACUUAGGACAAGAACAGUGGAGGAAAUUGGGGAAAACUUACUUACCAAGUGAAAUGGAGAUAUGGUAGGCUCAAACUGAAGCUCUCGACACCAGAAACGAGUUGAAGGCACCAAUUAAAGUUUUGUACGGUUUAAAUUUCUGAAAAAGAAGAGAGAAGAUGGAGAAGAGUUAGGGUUUGGUUAUGGAGUUUCUAGAGAGACUGAAAUGCUGAAG
rnacentral:lncRNA from 1 species